GAGAUCAGGUGCUUUAGCCAUACAGCUUAAUUUGGGAAGCUCACCUGAAACAACAGGAGUGGUUAUUUCAGGGCUGCAGUGUGAAGCUUGUGUGAUGUGCUGCCUGAGACAACUGCUGUUGCUGGCUAUAGACAACCCAGCUUCCUUGAUGCAGAUGCCUGGCAUUCAGAGUUCCUUGAAUGAAAGCCAUUAUCCACCUCCAGUCAGACCAUCCAGCAGAAAGAGCAAGGCAAUCUGAACAGCACAGAGGCAGCAGAGGAAGGGACUUCUUGCCUCUGCACUACAGGACACAUAUGUUCCUAUUUCUAUCAGGUAGCUAAAGAGGUCCACAGCUAAGGAAAAAGGCACAACUUCUUGCUGUACCCACAGCACUAAUGAGCCAGUCAAAAAUGAAUGGCAAAAGCCUACUUGGAGGAACUGAAUUUACCGCUCCUGCAGAGAUUUGGAGAUGCACAUUGGAGCCUCCCAUGGGACCGGUGUGCCUGGUGACACAGCCACAGCUCGGCAGCAGAACUGAGCCCUUAAAGUCAUCAAGAUGCAAAGCGGAGAAAACACAUGCAUGUUCCCCAUUGCACUGAUGGGAGCGAUAGGUCUGCACGUCAAAACCUCAUUUAGGGUGUGAUAUUCCUAUCACGCAUCCCUCCAGGUGGGGCUCCCACAGCCCCCAGGAGAAGAUGCUUUGCUAGAACAAUUUCACUGAGACCUGAGUGAGGACAGCCCCCUGCUUCCCCCUCGAAUUUCGAUGCGUUCAGUGUCAUUUUGCCUUUUAGGGAAUUAAGCAUCUCUUUCCUCCCUCCUGAAAUCACUUUUCCACCCUGCAUCACGCUGGGCUGGGCUCCAUCCCCAGGCCUCGGGCCUAACUUCUGGGAGUGCCCGAGCUCCGGAGCGGUGUCCUCGCCCUCCUUCCUCCCGCGGGGACGAGGGGCCGCCAUCUCCUCAGCGUUUCCCAGCCGGGCCCAGGACAGGUGCGGCCUCCCCCCCACCGCAGGAGCCCUCCAUCUCAGCCUCCCCACCCCGCGAUGGCUACGGCGCGGGGCUCGUCCUCCUUUCCUCCCUCCCUCCUCUCUCUGCGGGCCGCGUCUCGGCGCGCCCGUGGGCUUGGCUUGCGGCCGCUGCCCGCGCGAGGCUCGGCGUGAGUCACUCCG